CGCUAGCUACAGGCUUAACACAUGCAAGUCCUUGGGCAGCAUCAUCAAAGCUUGCUUUGAUGGAUGGCGACCGGCGCACGGGUGAGUAACACGUAUCCAACCUGCCGACAACACUGGGAUAGCCUUUCGAAAGAAAGAUUAAUACCGGAUGGCAUAGUUUUCCCGCAUGGGAUAAUUAUUAAAGAAUUUCGGUUGUCGAUGGGGAUGCGUUCCAUUAGGCAGUUGGCGGGGUAACGGCCCACCAAACCUACGAUGGAUAGGGGUUCUGAGAGGAAGGUCCCCCACAUUGGAACUGAGACACGGUCCAAACUCCUACGGGAGGCAGCAGUGAGGAAUAUUGGUCAAUGGACGAGAGUCUGAACCAGCCAAGUAGCGUGAAGGAUGACUGCCCUAUGGGUUGUAAACUUCUUUUAUACGGGAAUAAAGUGAGCCACGUGUGGCUUUUUGUAUGUACCGUAUGAAUAAGGAUCGGCUAACUCCGUGCCAGCAGCCGCGGUAAUACGGAGGAUUCGAGCGUUAUCCGGAUUUAUUGGGUUUAAAGGGAGCGUAGGCGGGUUGUUAAGUCAGUUGUGAAAGUUUGCGGCUCAACCGUAAAAUUGCAGUUGAUACUGGCGACCUUGAGUGCAACAGAGGUAGGCGGAAUUCGUGGUGUAGCGGUGAAAUGCUUAGAUAUCACGAAGAACUCCGAUUGCGAAGGCAGCUUACUGGAUUGUAACUGACGCUGAUGCUCGAAAGUGUGGGUAUCAAACAGGAUUAGAUACCCUGGUAGUCCACACAGUAAACGAUGAAUACUCGCUGUUGGCGAUAUACAGUCAGCGGCCAAGCGAAAGCAUUAAGUAUUCCACCUGGGGAGUACGCCGGCAACGGUGAAACUCAAAGGAAUUGACGGGGGCCCGCACAAGCGGAGGAACAUGUGGUUUAAUUCGAUGAUACGCGAGGAACCUUACCCGGGCUUAAAUUGCAACUGACGGAACCGGAAACGGUUCUUUCUUCGGACAGUUGUGAAGGUGCUGCAUGGUUGUCGUCAGCUCGUGCCGUGAGGUGUCGGCUUAAGUGCCAUAACGAGCGCAACCCUUACGGGUAGUUACCAUCAGGUUAUGCUGGGGACUCUACCCGGACUGCCGUCGUAAGAUGUGAGGAAGGUGGGGAUGACGUCAAAUCAGCACGGCCCUUACGUCCGGGGCUACACACGUGUUACAAUGGGGGGUACAGAAGGCAGCUACACGGCGACGUGGUGCUAAUCCCAAAAGCCUCUCUCAGUUCGGAUUGGAGUCUGCAACCCGACUCCAUGAAGCUGGAUUCGCUAGUAAUCGCGCAUCAGCCACGGCGCGGUGAAUACGUUCCCGGGCCUUGUACACACCGCCCGUCAAGCCAUGAAAGCCGGGGGUACCUGAAGUACGUAACCGCGAGGAGCGUCCUAGGGUAAAAC
rnacentral:rRNA from 1 species